GGGGUUGUGGCUCAGCGGUAGAGCACUCGUCUCAUAUGUGUGAGUCCCUGGGUUCGAUCCUCAGCACCA
rnacentral:tRNA from 1 species